CUUGUGGGGAGAGUGAAAGUCCCUCGAUCAUGUCCAACUCUUUGCGACCCCAUAUACAGUCCAUGGGAAUUCUCCAGGCCAGAGUACUGGAGUGGGCAGCCUUUCCCUUCUCCAGCAGAUCUUCCUGACCCAGGAAUUGAGCCGGGGUCUCCUGCAUUGCUGGCGGAUUCUUUGCCAACUGAGCUAUCAGGGAAGCUGUGGGGAGGGGGGCAGCCCCAAACAUUGCCCAUCCAGUGGAGUGCUAAGACAAACAUCCCCAGCCUAUCCAACUCUACCUUCAGCAGCAAGACCAUUCAAGACCCACCAAGAGGAGUGAGGGGUCUUAUUCUGCCUACAUAAUUGAUCAUAUUAGCUCAUUCUGGUGGUGGCACUAAUCGGUCAGAGGAUUAAAAGGCCGCGGGUGCAGCUGGGGUAAGAGGGAAGGUGAGGCGGUGGGUCCUGACAGCAGAGAUGAAGGUUGUGGGGCCCAGGAAGAAAUGCAAAUGAAGGCCCUUGUACCAUACACUCUAGCGCCAAGGUCCUCUGCAUCUCGGGCAGACUUGUACCUGGGGCUUCCCGAUGACGGGCAAGCGGCCCAGGUAGGAGGGUCCCGGCGGAGUGGCCCCACUGCAGGGCCGGGGAGGGCCUGACGGGGUUCGUGGCCUGUUCGGCGGGUGCAUCCGAGGUCGUGAGGAGCGGCUGGACCGCCCUGCGACAGCGCAGGGUCGCAAGGUACCGGGUCCCCGGGCGGUGGCUGCAAAGGGGCAGCAGGAAGACGACGAGGUGGGAAGGGCGCCUCCAGCCCAGCGAUUCUAAGCGAGCGGCCAGGUCUGAAGGCUCGCGGCGGCCCCAUCGCCCGGGGCGGGAGGCCCCUGACCAGCCGGCAGCCAGACCCAGCGCUCUCCGUCCGGAAACGCGCGCCCAGCCCCCGAGACGGGUCCUUCGACUCCCACUGAGUCACCUGGACUCAGGCGAGGGCCCCGGCCCAAGGUCACAGGGCCAACGGUGGAGGAAGCGGAUUCGAAUCGGGCCAAGGUCACAGAGCCGUUCCCGGCGGGUCAGAACGCGGGCUCGCCUACCCGACGCCAUCCCGGGGGCCGAACCCGGCUGCGGACCCGCG
ensembl:lncRNA